rnacentral:lncRNA from 1 species
AAUACUUCAACUUAUUUUAAAUAAGGUGAAAACAACUAGGGAUAACAUACAUCUCAUGCAUCAAGCCAUGGGGGCAUGUAAAAAGGAAAUCGAAAGGAUAGAAAAAAUAGGUAAUGAGUCCUACAUCUCAAAAACUGGGAACAUACCCACUCUUCAAAGUAAGGUUAAGAAAUAAAAGAUGUCAAGCCACAUGGAUCAUUGUGAGCUUAUUAUUGAAGGAUCCUCGAUGAUUUAUCCACCAACCAAACUAAACAUAGGAAAUGAUACCAAAAAUGAAGAAAUGGUACUAGAGCUGAAAGAAGAAGACAUGCAAAUCUUUUAGCAAGGCUCUAGUCCAUUUUGGGAUAAGAAUGUCAAGAGGAAUGUAACUCUAGAAUUGGGAAUAAGACCUCAUUCAAACAACUUUUCAACAUUUUGUUUGGUGGACGUGAUGAAAAUUGAACCACCCAAGUAAAUCAUGAAGGGCGAAUAUGAGGUACGAGAUCCAUUUAUUUUGGAGUUUGCCAUCCCAAGAGGGCAAAAUGAAGCCCAAAAUGUGAAGGUCAAUAAAUGCAAAAUUCAAGGUGUAACAAGUGGAUUCUUGAUGUUCUCACCAAUACCCAAUGGGCCUCCUCAGAAAUUUGAUAUAAAAUUGGGUAAGAGGUUCAAGUCCUCAAAGUGGCUUGAUAGAACAUAUUUUGCCGUGCCCUUUUAUUUGCCCAAUGCACUUCAAAGAUGUAUUGAACAAAAAUUGGGAAGGAAAUUCAAAUCCUUUAAGUAGAG